rnacentral:rRNA from 1 species
UACGGAGGGUGCUAGCGUUGUUCGGAAUCACUGGGCGUAAAGGGCGUGUAGGCGGUCUGUUAAGUCUGAUGUGAAAUCCCCUCGCUCAACGAGGGAACUGCGUCGGAUACUGGCAGACUUGAGUACCGGAGAGGAAGGUGGAAUUCCAGGUGUAGCGGUGAAAUGCGUAGAUAUCUGGAGGAACACCGGUGGCGAAGGCGGCAUCCUGGACCGGCAUUGACGCUGAGGCGCGAAAGCCAGGGGAGCAAACGGG